CCCAAUCAACAGCACCCACGCUCCUCCCUCCUCCCUCCUCCCUCCCUCACCCGCCGCCACGCUCCCUCCCACCUUCUCCUCCUCCUCUUCCCUAGAAGCCCGCCCCCAACUGCUACUCCUCCACCGCCUCGCCUCUUCCUCCUCCUCACCUUUCAAUCGCUCGCAUGCAGGUCACCCGACAACAGGGGCAGUCAGGAAGGCUUCCCAGCCUGAUGGAGGAGCACGCCGCCGCCGCAGGCUGCCUGUCCCGAUCCGCGUCCGUCCCGACGCAGCCUGGCGGAUCUUUCUCGGGAGGCAGCGAGAGUUGCAGGCGCAGCGGUCGGCGUCCAUGCGCUACUCAACUGGGUCGUCGUGGCCAGGCUCGGUCAUGGCCUCCUGGGCGCGUCAAUGGUCGGCAACGGCUCCUGGUGGCUCAUCAAUGUGGCGCAGUUCGUGUACGUCGUCAGCGGCUCCUUCCCAAAGGCGUGGACGGGGUUCUCGCCCAAGGCGUUCACCAGUCUCUGCGGGCCAUGGCCGAGCAAGAGGAUUCCGCUGUUGUGCACGACCUGGUCUUCUUUUUCUCCGCGUUGGACAGCACCAGCUGAGCUAUAGGUUAUUCGGCUCUGCUGUAUGAGGCAAUAAUGAAUAAGAACAAUAUCAGCCUUUUAAUGUGCAGGUUUAUGACUGCAUUACAUAUCUUGGUGGCUGGCUGUCCAUGCCAUUUCAGUAGUUCAAUUAUGCAUUACCUGCAAUUAGUCAAGUGAUUAGUUAUUACCUAUAGUGUCUGGACCUUAUUUGGUUUGGUCAAUUUAGUCAUUCAUCGUCCAUUUUUCUAAAUUUAUUGGUAUUUUUAAUAUGUCAUUUGUGUCAGCGCAUUAAUGUCACAUCUUGUAAUUGUUUAUCUACCAGGAAAUCAUAUUAUUAAGAUGUCUCUGUUACUAAUGGAUAAUGAGUAAAAACUUCAUUUAUGAAUAUUAUAUGCAAAAACGUCUUCCUUUGUGCUGCCCCUUUGUCUUAGAAAUUCACAGGGAGGAAGCUCUAGGAUAGAGUGUUUGACUUUUCUUUUCUGUUUUUUUGUAGCAUGAUGUGAUUAUGCAGGUAUGUCGUCAUUCCUUCAUUCACCAUAUGCAAAUCCUGUUCUUCAAUUUAUUUUAAUUUCCAUGAGUGACCUGGCAUUACUCUGAUGCUAUGCAAGCUUGGAGUGUAGAGUGAGUCAAAUAUGUAGUAGAUGCACUAAUUUGGUUCAUUGCCUCGCUUCACCAUUUUGUAGGUGCAAAACAUUUUUCCCUUGUGCUGAAUGUUUGCCACUGUUUUCCAUUUUGCUCAUUCUGAUCUAACCAAACGGACCCCAUCAAUUUGAGGUUGUCAUGCAUGUAAUGCUUGGAUAUGCCCUUAUUUGGAUCUAAAUAUAUGAUGGUUGCUUUUUUUUAUCAUUUUCAUCUAUAUAUUUCACUUGACUAGCCAGUUUCUAUGUUUACUUCAGUAAUGUGUAAUUUGGUGUUCUUUUAUAUCUUCUGUACAGAUGCUAUUCAGUACAACCUUGAUGUGCACCUUGACUUACAUGGAUAAUCUUCAACCAUGUUGACAAGCUGGCAUCUCUUUGUUCUAUUCUAUUGACUUCAUGUGGCAUUAUGUAUGAAGCACAAACCUUUCGACGCAAGGACCGGCAUGGGAUUUGGAGUGCUCAAUGGCAUCUUAAUUGGACUUCUCAAUCAGAGUCUAGGUUUCAACUCUGUUGGUUUCCAUCAGGUUGAACCAUGUAUAUAUUUGUAGAGCAAGUCGAGCGCAUUAGUUGGAUCCAGCUUCUUGAUAUUGCAGAGGACUCGUCAAAAGAUAUACAGGGUUCUCGACUGGCUGGGAAGACUUGACAAGAGGCACAUGUAAAAUAGAUAAUCUCUUGUGACUCUCAAGAUAUGUAUCCAGAGGCAAGUCAGGUCUCGGAAUGCUGACUGAAUAUUCCAUGGCCUUUGUUUUUCUUGCUAGGUGGAUUACUACUUCCUUGGAUGUUUUCAGAAAAUAAGUGAAAUGUGCAGACCGACAACAUGGACGGCAGGUCUUGCGGCUCUCAGCGCCCUCAACCCCCCACUGAACUCAAUUUUGAUCUCUCCUCUACUCUUCUGGGUGGUGGUGAGAGCGGGUGUGAACCGGGAAAGGCGGCCAUAGGAGAUAUAUGAUAGGAAAAGAAUUGCUCUAUGGCGCAAAGGGCGAGAGGGAGCCAACUAUGAUAGGAAAAGAGGAUGCAUGUAGGUAAUCGCAGGGUGGAUGCUUAAUGUUGCUUAUUCAGCAGGGGCUAUCAACCUGUGAUUAUCUACAUGGUAUAUCUAGCCCAUCAAGGUCCUGCACAUGGUAUAUCUAGCCCAUCAAGGUCCUCCAUGGCCAUCGACUUGCUUUCUGCUCGGGCAGGAUUAGAUGCAACCUCCUGUUUGUGAUGCAGUGCCGCCAAAGGCUCGGAUGCAGGUGCGAGUCAACAAUGCCAGUAGUGAGUCGAGAGAAGUGGAGAAGAGGGUCCCUCCAGGCUCCAUACAUGAAUGGUGUAUGUCGAAUGUCUUGGUUGAAGAAUCGUCCCUCCACUGUCAUCUUGAAGGGUGGCAUGCGGCAAUGUCGGGGAAAGCAAGGAAGAUGUUCUUGUACAUCAUCGAACAUAUAAACCCUGGUGGCCAAACUAAAUGUUUUAUAUUCCUUUGGGAAACUUUUAACGAAAUCCUCCCAAACAAAUCAUUCAGAUAACUACUUCAGGUUAGGCGGGAGAAAUAAAAAGGGUAACCAUAGAUAUAUGGUCUAGCAUCACGAGGUUCAGGUUCCUGUUGUUGAUCAACCAUUGCUUUGCUCGAGAGAUUAAAGAAGACUGAAAUAUGGGCUCAAGCGAUUGCUAUGUCUGACCUACACAAGAAUGCCAAGAAGUCCUCAGAGACAAUGAAGGACAUGUACCUGCACUACAACGAGAGAUCUGGGCUACUUCUUUGUGGCUUUCAAACUUGAAGUGUUUGUUUGGAAGUUAGUUUAGUUUUUUGUUUUGGAUUCACAGCUUCUCACAUGUACCAUCCUCUUAGACCUUUAGAUUUCCAAAGAAACUAAAUGAAGAUAUGGUGGUAUGGUCUCAAUAGUACAACUUAAAUCGUUCCAUGCUUUAUAUUUGCUCUCAAAUUUGCUCUUCAAGAAUCAUGUAUCUAUGUUAGAUCCGGUGAGCUUUAUAUUUUCUCUGAAA